UUCUUUUUUAUUGUUAUAAAACUGAGAACGUGUUAAACACGUUCUCAGAUGAAUCACAAAUUAUAUCACAAAAGAAAUUGCAAAACAAAACCCAAGCCUAAUCUCCUUAUCCAGAUCGAAAUUCACAUCUCUCUCUCUCUCUCUCUCUCUCAGAGUUCUUUAACCACGAUUCGUCACAGCUGUCUCCUUCUCCAUCACGGUUCUUCAACCAGAAUCGACUGUUGCCGUGUCCCAGCUUCUCUCGAUUGGUGGUAGUGGUGCUGCUACGGCUUCUCUUUUAAGGAUCAACUAGUGUGUGUCUAUUUCGUUUGAUUGAGAUGUUAGCAUACAACGUGCUGCGUGUGUCUAUUUCGUUGGCUUGGAGAUUGGUUUAUUAAAAAUCAUAAAUAAUAUAUAUAUUUUUUUGGGGGGAAAGAGCAAAAGUAUUUUCUGUGGGGACUGGGGGGAGACCGGAGCAGGAAGGCGAAAGGAAUCAAAAUCAAAGACGUGUUGAGCUGUUACCAUCCUUUCAUAAAUCCAUUUUUUUAAUUAAUGAUGAUACUCAAAUUUUAUUAUUAUGUAAUUUUUUAUCAUUAUUUUGUUUAAACUAUUUAUGGAAUGGUUGUGUAUGUAUUAGUUAAAUAAUUACUUUUUAUUCAUAAAUAUGACUUAAAUAUUUAGUAAAAAAUUUUUUGAAAAUGAUGUUGCCGAACACAUAUUCACUGUUUUUAUCCUAUCAAUUGUGUCUACCAAAUGCAUAUUAUUGUUUUCAAUUUUAAAAUAUAGGAUAUAAAAAAUUAUACCAGACGCAUACUUAAAUUCAAAAUACAACACCUAUAAAAUACUAUUUUCAUUCUCAUUUUUAUUUUCAAAAAAUAUAAAUUCAAAAACAAUACCAAACGAGCCCAUUUUUAGAAACCUACCGUUUUCUCUAAUUAUUUUCUUCUUAUAAUAUAGGGUCCAGCUACGUUGCCUCUGGGGUUUGGUGCCCCAUUUUUUGUCUUUUUCAAACUCACCGUUGGAUACAACGCAAGACUUGCAUAAUGGCUUAGAUUUGAUUCUAGGAUAUUAACAUUAAAGGCCAAAAAAAUUUCCUAAAGGCUGGUUUUUCAAACCAUGGGAUUUAACAAAACUCCAGUCUUACUAUCAAAGCAUUUUAGAAGUUACUGAGCGAAAAAUCAAAAAUUUUAUAAUUAUGACAUAAAAGUCCAUAAUAUAUAUAUAUACCCAAAGGCUGGUUUUUUAAACCAUGGGAUUUGACAAAACCCCAGUCUUAUUAUCAAAGCAUUCUAGAGGCUACUAGUCAGUUAAAUUCAAACAUUUCUUUCUUAGUGAAACCCAUUCAGAGCCAGCCUAUUCCACGGCUACUAUCUUAAAAGUCUUGAGCCCAAACUAGUGGGGUGACUUACUCCACAAUUUUAAAACCUUCCCUCUAAAUUUUCAAACACGUUUACCACAUUGUCGGAUAUUUUCCUACUGGGAUUACCAACAAGCCUGGUAUAACACAUUUUUUAUCCAAAACCCCAAAAAAUCUCACUCUUGGUUAUUUUUCUUCAAUUCAAAAAUAACCGUUCAAAGCCUCCCAAACUGGUUUCAUCAUUGGUGGAAUUUAGUAUUAAAGACCAAAUUAACCGAACGUGCGAAUUAUUGAAGUACGUGGCGUUGUUCUCCAUAUUGAUGCAGAACUUAAUCUGCCUUUGGAUGCAGAUCUGACUUAAAAUCUAGAAAACAUUGAGUCUGUACCUAAUGAUUUUCUAUUUUUUUUAAAGCAAAUCACUAUGAGAUAAUAUUUAAUUAAAAUUACCUUAAUUUUUUCUAAUGAUUUUGCAAUUGACGCCAUUGCUCUUUUUGAUACUGGUGCCGAUUUGAAUUGCAUAAGAGAAGACAUUGUCCCCAAAAGAUUUCAUGAGAAAACAAAAGAAAGGCUUUCUGCAGCCAACAAUUCGAAACUUAAAGUUAAUUCUAAAGUUGAAGCUUCAAUUCAUAACAAUGGUUUUGAAUUUAGAACUUCUUUUGUACUUACAAAUGACAUACACCAUGCUGUCAUUCUGGGAACUCCUUUUAUAAAUCUCAUUACUCCCUAUACUGUCAAUUACGAUAGUAUAUUUUUCAAAGCAAAAGAUGAAAAAUUUGUUUUCCCAUUUAUUAAAAAGCCAAAAACAAGGAAUUUGAAUAUUGUUAAAGCUUGUUCUAUUUAUCAGAACCAAAUCAAUAAUCUUCUUCGUUCAAGACAAAAUGAUUUAGUGUUUUUUACAAAAGGAUUUAAGUUUACAAAGAAUCGAAAGCCAAUUACAAAAUGAUUUCAUACAAAAGAAAAUUUCUGAUUUCAAAGCUCUCAUUGAAAAAGAAAUUUGUGCUGAUCUACCAUCUGCUUUUUGGAAUAGAAAACAACACUUGGUAGAUUUACCCUAUGAAAAUUCUUUUGAUGAAAAACAAAUUCCCACUAAAGCCCGUCCUAUCCAAAUGAACAUGGAUUUAGAACAACAUUGUAAAAUUGAGAUCAAAGAUUUAGAGUCUAAAGGACUCAUUGUGAAAUCCAGAUCUCCUUGGUCUUGUGCUGCUUUUUAUGUAAAUAAAAAUUCUGAAAUUGAAAGAAGAACACCAAGACUGGUCAUUAAUUAUAAACCCCUUAAUAAAGCAUUAAAAUGGAUUAGGUACCCAAUACCUAAUAAAAAGGAUUUGCUUCAAAAACUGUAUUCUGCUUUCAUAUUUUCAAAAUUUGACAUGAAGUCAGGCUUUUGGCAAAUUCAAAUCCAUCCAAAUGACCGGUACAAAACUACUUUUAAUGUUCCUUUUGGACAGUACGAGUGGACUGUUAUGCCUUUUAGUUUGAAAAAUACACCAUCAGAAUUUCAAAGAAUUAUGAAUGAUAUUUAUAACCCUUAUUCUGAGUUUUGCAUUGUCUAUAUAGAUGAUGUUUUGAUUUUCUCUCAAACCAUCGACCAACAUUUCAAACACUUAAAGACUUUUUACUUAGCCACUAGGAAAGCUGGAUUAGCCAUUUCUAGUUCCAAAGUUUCCUUAUUUCAAACAAAAAUCAGGUUCCUAGGUCAUCACAUUUCCAAAGGAACCAUCACUCCUAUUGAGCGUUCACUUGUCUUUGCAGAUAAAUUUCCUGAUAAAAUCCUAGAUAAAACUCAAUUACAGAGGUUUCUAGGAAGCCUAAAUUAUGUUCUUGAUAGGUUGUCCAAACCUUUGCAUGAUAGAUUAAAGAAAAAUCAUGUUGCUUGGACUGACGAGCACACCAAAGUAGUUAAGCUCAUAAAGAAUUCUGUUAAAAGCAUUCCAUGUUUAUAUCUUGCAAAUCAUGCAUUACCUAAAAUCGUUGAGACUGAUGCAUCUGAUUUAGGAUAUGGAGGUAUAUUAAAACAAAAAGAAAAUGAUAAAGAACAGAUAGUACAAUAUGUUUCUGCACAUUGGAAUGAUUGCCAGAAAAAUUAUUCUACUAUCAAAAAAGAAAUUCUUUCUAUUGUUUUAUGCAUAUCUAAAUUCCAAAGUGAUUUAUUAAAUCAAAAAUUUUUACUUAGAAUUGAUUGCAAAGCUCCAAAACAUGUUUUGAAAAAAGAUGUUCAAAAUAUUGCUUCAAAAUAAAUUUUUGCAAGAUGGCAAGCCAUUUUAAGUGUUUUUGAUUUCGAUAUUGAAUUCAUUAAAGGUGAUAAAAAUUCUGUUCCUGAUUUUCUAACCAAAGAAUUUCUUCAAAACAGAUAAUACCGCCAAAGAAGAAGGAUAAAGGUAAAGUUGUUCUUAAAGACAUUGAGUCCCAAGCCACUUUUAAAGAACCCCAACCAACUCCUUCUAAAGAAAAAUUGCUUUCUUCUGCCAUGUCUAUCAAGUCCUAGAUUAAAAUGGUUGAAGAACAUGAAGCCCAAUAUAAAACCAUCUCCUCAGAGAGCCAAGUAAAACAAUGGAUGAGUUCCAUUACAAAAUCCCCUGAGCUUAUGAUAUAUAUAUAUAUAUAUAUAUUACACUAUUGAACUAGAUUUCCAAUUAAAUCACUUAUUCUUACAUGUAUUAAUAUCUAUUUAAAUUAAUAAUUUACUUAUUAAUUAAAAAAUUAACUAGUUUAUUAUAUAGUUAAACUAUGUUUAUUAUUUACGAACCAUAAUUAAUGAUAAAUAUAAAAUUAUUUUUUUUAAUUUAACAUAACGGCAACCAAUUUUCUCUCACCCAUGUGACCAAGGUUCAAACCCCAUAAUCUUUUUUAUUCCAACACAAGAGAUUUUACUAUCUCAAGUAAAUGUAAUGUACAAAAUAUGAAAAUAAAUUUAAUUUGAUAUUCUAUGUAGUUACUUUUUUUUUGGUAACAUAAGAUUUAUUUAACAUAUUAUCAAUUAUUUAAUUAUGUAGUAAAAAUAUGUUAAUUUACUAAUAAUAAUCAAGUGUUAGUUAUGAAUUUGCAAAAUAAUUUUUGUUUGUUUGAACAAUGAGUUUGCAUUUCUGGUUGAGUUUUUGUCCUUAAAUAAAAUAAUAAAUUUAAUUGCACACUUAAAUAAAUUAAUAUUUGUUACUCCACCCCAACAGUUUAAAUAGUUAUUAGCACACGUCCAUAUGGUUGAGAUCUUUCAGUAAAAAAAUUCUAAAUAAUUACUCUAUUUGAAAAUAAUUUAAAUAUUUCCUUAGUUUUCUUUUAUUUAAAAUAAUUUAAAUAAUUCAAAAAAAAUUUCUUUUAAUUUACUAGUGUUUGUGUGUAUAAAGAGAAUAAGUGCUUGAAUUCUAAACAAAUCAUGGCUUCUAGAAGCAUUAAUACAAUUGAAAAUCUUUAGGUGCAGGACUAAUGUGUGAAAAUUUAAAAAUUUUUAGUUUUUUUGUUUUUAUAACUAAUAGCAUGACUUUAUUGUAAUUGACCUUGAAAAAGACAAAAGAAAAGGGUAUCAAACCCGCGAAUGCAACGUAGUUUUGCCCUAUAAUAUAUUUCUAUCUCUAUAAUUCUAAACUCUUAUAAUUUUCUCAAAUUUUUUUUAUUAAAAACUAAAAUGUAAAUGUAAAUUAUGAAAUGAUGUGGAUGUAAAAAGUUUUUUAAAAGAAAAUUUGAAUUUACUUAUUUAAUUGGAUUUACAUUCAAAAUUAAAAAUCACUUAAAUUGUCUUGGUUGUUUUGGUAAUUUCAAUUAUAUAGGGAAAGAAGGGGUUCUAUCAGAAUUUUGGCCUGUUCGGUAUCAUUUUCAGGGCCCUGUUUUCAUUUUCGUUUUGAGAGUACAUAUGUAAUUCUUGUUCGGUGGGCUGGAUCCAAAAAUGAAUUAUAAAACAAAUAAUUCAUAUUCUUUUUUAUUGUUAUAAAACUGAGAACGUGUCUCAGAUGAAUCACAAAUUAUAUCACAAAAGAAAUUGCAAAACAAAACCCAAGCCUAAUCUCCUUAUCCAGAUCGAAAUUCACAUCUCUCUCUCUCUCUCUCUCUCUCAGAGUUCUUUAACCACGAUUCGUCACAGCUGUCUCCUUCUCCAUCACGGUUCUUCAACCAGAAUCGACUGUUGCCGUGUCCCAGCUUCUCUCGAUUGGUGGUAGUGGUGCUGCUACGGCUUCUCUUUUAAGGAUCAACUAGUGCUGCUGCUGCUGUUGCGUCUCUCUUGAGGAAUAACUGGUGAUGCUGCUACUGAUGCGUCUAUGCUCCGUCUCGGCUGGUGGUGGUGGUGGUGGUGGUGCUGCGUCUCUGCUCUGUCUCGACUGGUGCUGCUGCUACUCCACAGUGGAUGCUUCUGGGUUUAACGGAAUCACGAAUUUACAAUUGCCUUUUUUUAUUUGGUGGUUGUUAAAUUAAAUAAAGUUUAAAACAAGUAAGUGGAGUGAGAGAUUCGACAGGGGACUGAUCCAACAACAUUGCCUUAUUUUUAUUUAACCUCGUGCUUUUAGUGGGGGGUAAAAGAAGACCGAUCAAAACUUUAAUUCUCGGAAGCCUUGUUUGAUUGAGAUGUUAGCAUACAACGUGCUGCGUGUGUCUAUUUCGUUGGCUUGGAGAUUGGUUUAUUAAAAAUCAUAAAUAAUAUAUAUAUUUUUUUUUGGGGGGAAAGAGCAAAAAUAUUUUCUGUGGGGACUGGCGAAAGGAAUCAAAAUCAAAGACGUGUUGAGCUGUUACCAUCCUUUUCAUAAAUCCAUUUUUUUAAUUAAUGAUGAUACUCAAAUUUUAUUAUCAUGUAAUUUUUUAUCAUUAUUUUGUUUAAACUAUUUAUGGAAUGGUUGUGUAUGUAUUAGUUAAACAAUUACUUUUUAUUCAUAAAUAUGACUUAAAUAUUUAGUAAAAAUUAUUUUUGAAAAUAAUGUUACCGAACACAUAUUCACUGUUUUUAUCCUCUCAAUUGUGUCUACCAAAUGCAUAUUAUUGUUUUCAAUUUUAAAAUAC
rnacentral:lncRNA from 1 species